UUAAGUUAUUAAGGGCGCACGGUGGAUGCCUUGGCACUAGAAGCCGAUGAAGGACGUUACUAACGACGAUAUGCUUUGGGGAGCUGUAAGUAAGCUUUGAUCCAGAGAUUUCCGAAUGGGGAAACCCAGCAUGAGUUAUGUCAUGUUAUCGAUAUGUGAAUACAUAGCAUAUCAGAAGGCACACCCGGAGAACUGAAACAUCUUAGUACCCGGAGGAAGAGAAAGAAAAUUCGAUUCCCUUAGUAGCGGCGAGCGAAACGGGAAGAGCCCAAACCAACAAGCUUGCUUGUUGGGGUUGUAGGACACUCUAUACGGAGUUACAAAGGACGACAUUAGACGAAUCAUCUGGAAAGAUGAAUCAAAGAAGGUAAUAAUCCUGUAGUCGAAAAUGUUGUCUCUCUUGAGUGGAUCCUGAGUACGACGGAGCACGUGAAAUUCCGUCGGAAUCUGGGAGGACCAUCUCCUAAGGCUAAAUACUCUCUAGUGACCGAUAGUGAACCAGUACCGUGAGGGAAAGGUGAAAAGCACCCCGGAAGGGGAGUGAAAUAGAACCUGAAACCGUGUGCUUACAAGUAGUCAGAGCCCGUUAAUGGGUGAUGGCGUGCCUUUUGUAGAAUGAACCGGCGAGUUACGAUUUGAUGCAAGGUUAAGCAGUAAAUGUGGAGCCGUAGCGAAAGCGAGUCUGAAUAGGGCGUUUAGUAUUUGGUCGUAGACCCGAAACCAGGUGAUCUACCCUUGGUCAGGUUGAAGUUCAGGUAACACUGAAUGGAGGACCGAACCGACUUACGUUGAAAAGUGAGCGGAUGAACUGAGGGUAGCGGAGAAAUUCCAAUCGAACCUGGAGAUAGCUGGUUCUCUCCGAAAUAGCUUUAGGGCUAGCCUCAAGUGAUGAUUAUUGGAGGUAGAGCACUGUUUGGACGAGGGGCCCCUCUCGGGUUACCGAAUUCAGACAAACUCCGAAUGCCAAUUAAUUUAACUUGGGAGUCAGAACAUGGGUGAUAAGGUCCGUGUUCGAAAGGGAAACAGCCCAGACCACCAGCUAAGGUCCCAAAAUAUAUGUUAAGUGGAAAAGGAUGUGGCGUUGCCCAGACAACUAGGAUGUUGGCUUAGAAGCAGCCAUCAUUUAAAGAGUGCGUAAUAGCUCACUAGUCGAGUGACACUGCGCCGAAAAUGUACCGGGGCUAAACAUAUUACCGAAGCUGUGGAUUGUCCUUUGGACAAUGGUAGGAGAGCGUUCUAAGGGCGUUGAAGCAUGAUCGUAAGGACAUGUGGAGCGCUUAGAAGUGAGAAUGCCGGUGUGAGUAGCGAAAGACGGGUGAGAAUCCCGUCCACCGAUUGACUAAGGUUUCCAGAGGAAGGCUCGUCCGCUCUGGGUUAGUCGGGUCCUAAGCUGAGGCCGACAGGCGUAGGCGAUGGAUAACAGGUUGAUAUUCCUGUACCACCUAUAAUCGUUUUAAUCGAUGGGGGGACGCAGUAGGAUAGGCGAAGCGUGCGAUUGGAUUGCACGUCUAAGCAGUAAGGCUGAGUAUUAGGCAAAUCCGGUACUCGUUAAGGCUGAGCUGUGAUGGGGAGAAGACAUUGUGUCUUCGAGUCGUUGAUUUCACACUGCCGAGAAAAGCCUCUAGAUAGAAAAUAGGUGCCCGUACCGCAAACCGACACAGGUAGUCAAGAUGAGAAUUCUAAGGUGAGCGAGCGAACUCUCGUUAAGGAACUCGGCAAAAUGACCCCGUAACUUCGGGAGAAGGGGUGCUCUUUAGGGUUAACGCCCAGAAGAGCCGCAGUGAAUAGGCCCAAGCGACUGUUUAUCAAAAGCACAGGUCUCUGCUAAACCGUAAGGUGAUGUAUAGGGGCUGACGCCUGCCCGGUGCUGGAAGGUUAAGAGGAGUGGUUAGCUUCUGCGAAGCUACGAAUCGAAGCCCCAGUAAACGGCGGCCGUAACUAUAACGGUCCUAAGGUAGCGAAAUUCCUUGUCGGGUAAGUUCCGACCCGCACGAAAGGCGUAACGAUUUGGGCACUGUCUCAACGAGAGACUCGGUGAAAUCAUAGUACCUGUGAAGAUGCAGGUUACCCGCGACAGGACGGAAAGACCCCGUGGAGCUUUACUGUAGCCUGAUAUUGAAAUUCGGCACAGCUUGUACAGGAUAGGUAGGAGCCUUUGAAACGUGAGCGCUAGCUUACGUGGAGGCGCUGGUGGGAUACUACCCUAGCUGUGUUGGCUUUCUAACCCGCACCACUUAUCGUGGUGGGAGACAGUGUCAGGCGGGCAGUUUGACUGGGGCGGUCGCCUCCUAAAAGGUAACGGAGGCGCUCAAAGGUUCCCUCAGAAUGGUUGGAAAUCAUUCAUAGAGUGUAAAGGCAUAAGGGAGCUUGACUGCGAGACCUACAAGUCGAGCAGGGUCGAAAGACGGACUUAGUGAUCCGGUGGUUCCGCAUGGAAGGGCCAUCGCUCAACGGAUAAAAGCUACCCCGGGGAUAACAGGCUUAUCUCCCCCAAGAGUUCACAUCGACGGGGAGGUUUGGCACCUCGAUGUCGGCUCAUCGCAUCCUGGGGCUGUAGUCGGUCCCAAGGGUUGGGCUGUUCGCCCAUUAAAGCGGUACGCGAGCUGGGUUCAGAACGUCGUGAGACAGUUCGGUCCCUAUCCGUCGUGGGCGUAGGAAAUUUGAGAGGAGCUGUCCUUAGUACGAGAGGACCGGGAUGGACAUACCUCUGGUGUACCAGUUGUCGUGCCAACGGCAUAGCUGGGUAGCUAUGUGUGGACGGGAUAAGUGCUGAAAGCAUCUAAGCAUGAAGCCCCCCUCAAGAUGAGAUUUCCCAACUUCGGUUAUAAGAUCCCUCAAAGAUGAUGAGGUUAAUAGGUUCGAGGUGGAAGCAUGGUGACAUGUGGAGCUGACGAAUACUAAUCGAUCGAAGACUUAAUCAA
rnacentral:rRNA from 1 species